AUGAGCUUGAGCACCUUUGGAGAUGAAUCUGAUCACCUGGCUCCGCUAGACUUGAAGAAAAGAAUAACUGAAGAUCCUCUGCAUAUCAUGAGCACAUGGAAUGGUUCCAUCAAUUUCUGCAGCUGGGUUGGCGUUACAUGCAACCAUUCAAACAAAAGAGUCGUGACUUUGAACCUGGAAGCUCAAAAAUUGGUAGGCUCCAUACCACCUUCUAUAGGAAAUCUGACUUAUCUCACCGGAAUCAACUUGAUACACAACUUCUUUCAUGGUGAAAUUCCUCAAGAAAUGGGACGUCUGCUCCGCCUGCGAUAUCUCAACCUCAGUUUCAAUUCCUUUGGUGGGAAAAUUCCAAGUAACAUAUCUCACUGUACACAGCUGAGAGUGCUUAAUGUUGGUUCCAAUAAGCUUAUUGGUGGUAACAAUCUCACUGGAACAAUCCCAGAUUGGAUAGGGAACUUUUCUUCUCUGUAUGCUAUUAAUAUUUUUCAAAACAAUUUUCAAGGAAGCAUACCGAAUGAGCUCGGGCUGCACAAGCUUGGGAAGAUUUGUAAUUCCUGGGAAUAAACUUUCUGGUAUGGUUCCUUCUUCAAUCUAUAAUAUAUCCUCCAUACACUAUAUCAUUGUUACUGAGAACCAGCUGCACGGAGAGCUGCCAAAAGAUGUGGGGAUCACUCUUCCUAAUCUGGAGACAUUUGCUGGUGGUGUCAACAAAUUCACAGGUAAUAUUCCUGUAUCCUUGUCAAAUGCUUCUACACUUCGACAGCUUGAUUUUGCUGAAAAUGGUCUCACUGGGAAACUCCAAGCUGAACAUUUCGGAAGCUUGCAAAGCUUAUCUAGACUGAACUUUGAUGACAAUAGACUGGGAAGUGGAAAAACUGGUGACCUGAGUUCUCUCAGUUUCCUUGCUAAUUGUACUAAUCUUGAGGUGUUGAGUUUUAGCCGAAAUCGUUUUGGAGGAGAAUUGCCAGAGUCCAUAUCCAACCUCUCAACAAAACUUAGUACAUUUACAAUGGGGGGUAAUUUGAUACAUGGAAGCAUCCCUAUCGGCAUUGCAAAUCUUGUAAACUUGAUCAAUCUAGGAAUGGAACAAAACUAUUUUGGUGGCAGUCUCCUUGAUGCAAUUGGCAAGCUCCAGAAGUUACAGGGAUUGUAUUUGAAUCUUAACAAGUUUUCGAAGCCAAUCCCAUCCUCCCUAGGUAACUUGACUUCAGUAACAACCCCUUCAUGGAGGGUAAUAGGUUUGAGGGAAGCAUACCUCCAAGCCUGAGAAACUGCCGAAGCUUAUUGAUGUUUAACCUUUCUAGUAACCGACUAAGUGGCAACAUACCGAAAGAGGUUGUUGGGCUUUCAUCCCUUUCAAUUUCUUUGUCCAUGUCAAACAAUUCUUUGACUGGUUCACUACCAUCGGAAGUGGGUGAGUUGGUAAAUCUCUCGGAGCUAGAUGUAUCAGCAAACAACUUAUCAGGUGAAAUCCCCGUAACCGUUGGCAGCUGCACUAGUUUGGUGAGCCUACAUUUGGAAGGUAAUGCUUUUGAAGGAAGAAUUCCUGAAACUCUGGCAAAAUUAAGAGGCUUGGAAGAAAUCGAUGUUUCACGCAAUCACUUAUCUGGGAAAAUUCCUGAAUUUCUAGGUAAGUUUAGAGCUCUUAAGCAGCUCAAUCUUUCUUAUAAUGAUUUUGAGAGUGCAUUGCCUGAAGAAGGAAUAUUUUCAAAUGCAAGUGGUGUCUCGGUUCAUGGAAAUAAUAAGCUCUGUGGAGGCAUCCCAGAAUUACUUCUACCUGCAUGCUCCAGCAAAAAGCCUAAUUCAUCUCAAGGACUACUUUCCCCAAAAGUAGUAAUCCUUAUAACUUGUGCACUUGCAUUCAUAUCUCUAUCAUGCUUCAUUGCUGCAUGUAAAAUGGUGAAAAGGUCAAGAGGUACUUCACGUUCUUAUGAGGAUUGGAAAUCAGGUGUCUCUUACUUAGAACUCACUUAAUCAACCAACGGGUUCUCUCUAGACAAUCUUAUUGGUUCAGGAAGUUUCGGUUCUGUAUACAGAGGAGUACUCUCUAGUAAUGGCAUGGUAGUUGCUAUUAAGGUAUUAAACCUUUAACAAGAAGGAGCUUCCAAGAGUUUCACUGAUGAAUGCAAAGCUUUAAGAAGUAUAAGGCAUCGUAAUCUUCUCAAAAUCAUAACUGCAUGCUCAAGCAUUGACAACCAAGGUAAUGAGUUUAAAAGUCUAGUUUCCGAGUUCACGGAAAAUGGAAGUCUAGACCCGUGGCUGCAUCCAAGAGAUGAUGAACAAUCUCAAGGUAAGAGAUUGAGCCUGAUUCGAAGACUAAAUGUUGCCAUAGAUGUUGCUUCUGCAUUAGAUUAUCUACACCACGAUUGUGAAACAUGCAUUGUUCAUUGUGAUUUAAAGCCAAGCAACGUUCUUCUUGAUGAAGAUAUGGUAGCCCAUGUUGGUGACUUUGGUCUAGCAAGGUUCCUUUUGGAAGCAUCAAAUAAUCCCACCAAAACUCAAACCAUGUCAGUUGGGCUAAAGGGUUUCAUAGGCUACAUUCCUCCAGAGUAUGGCAUGGGAGGCCAAGUUUCCGUACUUGGAGAUGUUUAUAGCUAUGGGAUACUGUUGCUAGAAAUGUUCACAGGAAAAAGACCAACUGAUGACAUGUUCAAAGAUGAUCUAAGCAUUCACCAAUUCACAGCCAUGUGGGGUCGGGGUGUUACAUUUACAAUGGGGGGUAAUUUGAUACAUGGAAGCAUCCCUAUCGGCAUUGCAAAUCUUGUAAACUUGAUCAAUCUAGGAAUGGAACAAAACUAUUUUGGUGGCAGUCUCCUUGAUGCAAUUGGCAAGCUCCAGAAGUUACAGGGAUUGUAUUUGAAUCUUAACAAGUUUUCGAAGCCAAUCCCAUCCUCCCUAGGUAACUUGACUUCAGUAACAAGGCUCUUCAUGGAGGGUAAUAGGUUUGAGGGAAGCAUACCUCCAAGCCUGAGAAACUGCCGAAGCUUAUUGAUGUUUAACCUUUCUAGUAACCGACUAAGGGGAACCAUACCUAAAAAGGUUGUAGGGCUUUCAUCCCUUUCAAUUUGUUUGUCCAUGUCAAACAAUUUUUUGACUGGUUCACUACCAUCAGAAGUGGGUGAGUUGGUAAAUCUCUCGGAGCUAGAUGUAUCAGCAAACAACUUAUCAGGUGAAAUCCCCGUAACCGUUGGCAGCUGCACUAGUUUGGUGAGCCUACAUUUGGAAGGUAAUGCUUUUGAAGGAAGAAUUCCUGAAACUCUGGCAAAAUUAAGAGGCUUGGAAGAAAUCGAUGUUUCACGCAAUCACUUAUCUGGGAAAAUUCCUGAAUUUCUAGGUAAGUUUAGAGCUCUUAAGCAGCUCAAUCUUUCUUAUAAUGAUUUUGAGAGUGCAUUGCCUGAAGAAGGAAUAUUUUCAAAUGCAAGUGGUGUCUCGGUUCAUGGAAAUAAUAAGCUCUGUGGAGGCAUCCCAGAAUUACUUCUACCUGCAUGCUCCAGCAAAAAGCCUAAUUCAUCUCAAGGACUACUUUCCCCAAAAGUAGUAAUCCUUAUAACUUGUGCACUUGCAUUCAUAUCUCUAUCAUGCUUCAUUGCUGCAUGUAAAAUGGUGAAAAGGUCAAGAGGUACUUCACGUUCUUAUGAGGAUUGGAAAUCAGGUGUCUCUUACUUAGAACUCACUUAAUCAACCAACGGGUUCUCUCUAGACAAUCUUAUUGGUUCAGGAAGUUUCGGUUCUGUAUACAGAGGAGUACUCUCUAGUAAUGGCAUGGUAGUUGCUAUUAAGGUAUUAAACCUUUAACAAGAAGGAGCUUCCAAGAGUUUCACUGAUGAAUGCAAAGCUUUAAGAAGUAUAAGGCAUCGUAAUCUUCUCAAAAUCAUAACUGCAUGCUCAAGCAUUGACAACCAAGGUAAUGAGUUUAAAAGUCUAGUUUCCGAGUUCACGGAAAAUGGAAGUCUAGACCCGUGGCUGCAUCCAAGAGAUGAUGAACAAUCUCAAGGUAAGAGAUUGAGCCUGAUUCGAAGACUAAAUGUUGCCAUAGAUGUUGCUUCUGCAUUAGAUUAUCUACACCACGAUUGUGAAACAUGCAUUGUUCAUUGUGAUUUAAAGCCAAGCAACGUUCUUCUUGAUGAAGAUAUGGUAGCCCAUGUUGGUGACUUUGGUCUAGCAAGGUUCCUUUUGGAAGCAUCAAAUAAUCCCACCAAAACUCAAACCAUGUCAGUUGGGCUAAAGGGUUUCAUAGGCUACAUUCCUCCAGAGUAUGGCAUGGGAGGCCAAGUUUCCGUACUUGGAGAUGUUUAUAGCUAUGGGAUACUGUUGCUAGAAAUGUUCACAGGAAAAAGACCAACUGAUGACAUGUUCAAAGAUGAUCUAAGCAUUCACCAAUUCACAGCCAUGGCUUGUCCUGACCGUGUCAUGGACGUAGUUGAGCCUUCAUUGCUCCUUGAAACGGAUGGUGAGAAUGAUGAAGAUGACAAAUAUGGAAAUCGCAUAGAAGAAAGACAAGUAGCAGGAUAUAAAGAUCCUGGCCCAGUCAAAGCGAAAAGAUUGGAGGACUGCUUGGAUUCAUCGAUGCAAAUAGGGCUCUCAUGCUCUGCAACAUCACCAAGAGACCGGAUGUCUAUGGAUAUCGUUGUCAACAAAAUGAAUGCAAUUAGAGACUCAUAUCUCAAUUUAAGAAGAAGAAGAAGAAGAAGAAGAUUGAAAAGUGUAAGAUAG